AUGCAUAUGAAUGAAAGAAAUGAAAUAGAUGGGAUCUUCUUUAAACAAAUGCCUAUUUUGAAACACAAUUUACCUGUUGAGACUCUUGGAUAUCCUCUUCCUCCCAAGAGUGAUCCCGUGUUUGAGCUUAAACAAUUACCUGAUACUUUGAAAUAUGCUUAUGUUGAUGAAAAGAAGAUAUAUCAUGUUAUUAUUAGUGCUAACCUUUCAGAGCUUGAAGAAAAUAGAUUAUUGAAAACUCUGAGGAAGCAUUGUGCCACUAUUGGAUAUACCAUUGAUGAUGUUAAGGGCAUUAGUCCCACUCUAUGCCAGCACCAAAUAAAAUGGAACCUGAUGCUAAACCAGUUGUUGAUCACCAGCGACGUUUAA
rnacentral:rRNA from 1 species